CCACCGCAGAGGACCUGCGCUCGCCGCUAUCAUUCGUUUCUGGACACCCUUCUAGCCCCGCCGCCACCACACCACCACCACCAAUGGCAGGAAUCGGAUCAAAGGCCCUCGCCGUGGUCGCCGUCCUGGCGGCCGUCGUCCUCUCGGUGGCCUCCGCGGCCGAGGCGCCCGCGCCCAGCCCCGUUUCCGCCGCCGCCGGCGCGUCGGCGCCGUUCGCCGCGGCCCUCGUCGCCUCCUCCGCCGCCUUCCUCUUCGCCGCCGUCCGCCACUGAGCCGAUGGGGCCCUUCCACCGCCGCCUAGGUCUAUUUAUUGGAGUGGUAUUCAGUAGUACUGGUACUAGGGAGAUUUCUUUGUUGGUGUCGUGUCGUCGUCGCAUUUUGGUCGGAUCUGGUGUCCUUGGUGGGUGGGGAGGGUUUGUACCGCGUCGUGGUGUCGGUUGUGUGAUCUGAUUCUGAUCCCCUUGUAGAUACUCUGCUAUCUCGCCGUGAUCGUGAGUGAUGAUUCCGUCUGGUUGCUACUGA